rnacentral:rRNA from 1 species
AUCACUUCUGGAUGGACCUGCGGUGCAUUAGCUUGUUGGUGGGGUAACGGCCUACCAAGGCGAUGAUGCAUAGCCGAGUUGAGAGACUGAUCGGCCACAAUGGGACUGAGACACGGCCCAUACUCCUACGGGAGGCAGCAGUAGGGAAUCUUCCACAAUGGGCGCAAGCCUGAUGGAGCAACACCGCGUGAGUGAAGAAGGGUUUCGGCUCGUAAAGCUCUGUUGUUAAAGAAGAACACGUAUGAGAGUAACUGUUCAUACGUUGACGGUAUUUAACCAGAAAGUCACGGCUAACUACGUGCCAGCAGCCGCGGUAAUACGUAGGUGGCAAGCGUUAUCCGGAUUUAUUGGGCGUAAAGAGAGUGCAGGCGGUUUUCUAAGUCUGAUGUGAAAGCCUUCGGCUUAACCGGAGAAGUGCAUCGGAAACUGGAUAACUUGAGUGCAGAAGAGGGUAGUGGAACUCCAUGUGUAGCGGUGGAAUGCGUAGAUAUAUGGAAGAACACCAGUGGCGAAGGCGGCUACCUGGUCUGCAACUGACGCUGAGACUCGAAAGCAUGGGUAGCGAACAGGAUUAGAUACCCUGGUAGUCCAUGCCGUAAACGAUGAGUGCUAGGUGUUGGAGGGUUUCCGCCCUUCAGUGCCGGAGCUAACGCAUUAAGCACUCCGCCUGGGGAGUACGACCGCAAGGUUGAAACUCAAAGGAAUUGACGGGGGCCCGCACAAGCGGUGGAGCAUGUGGUUUAAUUCGAAGCUACGCGAAGAACCUUACCAGGUCUUGACAUCUUGCGCCAACCCUAGAGAUAGGGCGUUUCCUUCGGGAACGCAAUGACAG